UCAUCGUAACUAAAUGUUCAAUUGCUAAAAUAGCAAAAAGUGAACUACAUUAAUAAACUAACAUAGAUAUUAUGGA
rnacentral:tRNA from 1 species